GACGAACGCUGGCGGCGUGCCUAAUACAUGCAAGUAGAACGCUGAAGAGAGGAGCUUGCUCUUCUUGGAUGAGUUGCGAACGGGUGAGUAACGCGUAGGUAACCUGCCUUGUAGCGGGGGAUAACUAUUGGAAACGAUAGCUAAUACCGCAUAACAAUGGAUGACACAUGUCAUUUAUUUGAAAGGGGCAAUUGCUCCACUACAAGAUGGACCUGCGUUGUAUUAGCUAGUAGGUGAGGUAAUGGCCCACCUAGGCGACGAUACAUAGCCGACCGGAGAGGGUGAUCGGCCACACUGGGACUGAGACACGGCCCAGACUCCUACGGGAGGCAGCAGUAGGGAAUCUUCGGCAAUGGGGGCAACCCUGACCGAGCAACGCCGCGUGAGUGAAGAAGGUUUUCGGAUCGUAAAGCUCGGUUGUAAGUCAAGAACGGGUGUGAGAGUGGAAAGUUCACACUGUGACGGUAGCUUACCAGAAAGGGACGGCUAACUACGUG
rnacentral:rRNA from 1 species